UUCCGUAGUGUAGUGGUUAUCACGUUCGCCUC
rnacentral:piRNA from 5 species